CCAUCUCAAAAGGGGUGCCUAAAACGGCUGAGAUCAAACCCAUUGAACCUGAACAGGUAAUGCUGUUUAGGGAAAUUAAGCGAUAACAAU
rnacentral:ncRNA from 1 species